rnacentral:tRNA from 7 species
GGGCCCAUAGCUCAGCUGGGAGAGCGUACGGUUCGCAUCCGUAAGGUCGUCGGUUCGAUCCCGAUUGGGUCCACCA